rnacentral:rRNA from 1 species
GACGAACGCUGGCGGCGUGCUUAACACAUGCAAGUCGUACGGUAAGGCCCUUUCGGGGGUACACGAGUGGCGAACGGGUGAGUAAAACGUGAGUAACCUGCCCACAACUUUGGGAUAACGCUAGGAAACUGGUGCUAAUACUGGAUAUGUGCUCCUGCUGCAUGGUGGGGGUUGGAAAGCUCCGGCGGUUGUGGAUGGACUCGCGGCCUAUCAGCUUGUUGGUGGGGUAGUGGCCUACCAAGGCGGCGACGGGUAGCCGGCCUGAGGGGGUGACCGGCCACAUUGGGACUGAGAUACGGCCCAGACUCCUACGGGAGGCAGCAGUGGGGAAUAUUGCACAAUGGGCGCAAGCCUGAUGCAGCAACGCCGCGUGCGGGAUAACGGCCUUCGGGUUGUAAACCGCUUUCAGCAGGGACGAAGCUUUUUGUGACGGUACCUGCAGAAGAAGCACCGGCUAACUACGUG